AGAAGUAUCUGGCCUGUGCUAUUAUCUUUUUGCUGUGGACUCCUCCCUGCAGACUGACAGGUUUCCUAAGACUGAAGGCAUCUGCUGAGACAAGACAGCGUGCUUCGUAAAUCGGGGCCAGUGCGUUCGAAGCGGCACAGCGUCCCUGAUUGAAAGACCCAUCCCUAUCCCAAAUGAGCACCAGCUAUCGUAAAAUGUUUCUGAUGAGUUCAGUUCUGAAGAAAAGGUGGCUGACACCCACCUCUAUUGAACCAUGG
rnacentral:sRNA from 1 species